rnacentral:tRNA from 2 species
GCUCCUAAAGGAUAACAGCUCAU